UCAGGCCUAACACAUGCAAGUCGAGCGGUAGCGGGAAGAGCUUGCUCUUUGCCGACGAGCGGCGGACGGGUGCGUAACACGUAGGAAUCUGCCUGGUAGUGGGGGAUAGCCCGGAGAAAUCCGGAUUAAUACCGCAUACGCCUUACGAGGGAAAGGAGGGGACUCUUCGGAGCCUUUCGCUAUCAGAUGAGCCUGCGUCGGAUUAGCUUGUUGGUGGGGUAAAGGCCUACCAAGGCGACGAUCCGUAGCUGGUCUGAGAGGAUGAUCAGCCACACUGGGACUGAGACACGGCCCAGACUCCUACGGGAGGCAGCAGUGGGGAAUAUUGCACAAUGGGCGAAAGCCUGAUGCAGCCAUGCCGCGUGUGUGAAGAAGGCCCUAGGGUUGUAAAGCACUUUCAGUGGGGAGGAAAGGUUGAAGGUUAAUACCCUUCAGCUGUGACGUUACCCACAGAAGAAGCACCGGCUAACUCCGUGCCAGCAGCCGCGGUAAUACGGAGGGUGCGAGCGUUAAUCGGAAUUACUGGGCGUAAAGCGCGCGUAGGCGGCCACCUAAGUUGGAUGUGAAAGCCCCGGGCUCAACCUGGGAACUGCAUCCAAAACUGGGUGGCUAGAGUACGGGAGAGGAGUGUGGAAUUUCCUGUGUAGCGGUGAAAUGCGUAGAUAUAGGAAGGAACACCAGUGGCGAAGGCGACACUCUG
rnacentral:rRNA from 1 species